GACUCCGUGGCCCAACGGUAGCGCGUGUGACUCCAGAUCAGAAGGUUGCGUGUUCAAAUCACGUCGGGGUCA
rfam:Enterobius vermicularis genome assembly, scaffold: EVEC_scaffold0000102